CCUACGGGUGGCUGCAGUGGGGAAUAUUGGGCAAUGGAGGCAACUCUGACCCAGCAACGCCGCGUGAAUGAUGAAGGUCUUCUGAUUGUAAAGUUCUGUGAUGGGGGAUGAACACAAUGACGGUACCCCAAUAGCAAGCCACGGCUAACUACGUGCCAGCAGCCGCUGUAAUGCGUAGGUGGCAAGCGUUAUCCGGAAUGACUGGUCGUAAAGGGUGCUUAGGUGGUUUAGUAAGUUGGCGGUGUAAUUCCGGGGCUCAACCUCGGCGCUACCGCCAAAACUAGUAGACUAGAGUGCAGGAGGGGUAAGUGGAAUGCGUGGUGUAGCGGUGGAAUGCGUAGAUAUUAGGAAGAACAUCAGGGGCGAAGGCAGCUUACUGGACUGUAACUGACGCUGAGGCACGAAAGCGUGGGGAGCGAACAGGAUUAGAUACCCGAGUAGUC
rnacentral:rRNA from 1 species